GCGGGGAUGGCCGAGUGGUUGAUGGCGCCAGUCUAGAAAACUGGAGAUCCAGCAAUGGGUCCGGGAGUUCGAAUCUCUCUCCCCGCGCCA
rnacentral:tRNA from 1 species